GAUGAACGCUGGCGGCGUGCCUAAUACAUGCAAGUCGAGCGAACGGACGAGAAGCUUGCUUUUCUGAUGUUAGCGGCGGACGGGUGAGUAACACGUGGAUAACCUACCUAUAAGACUGGGAUAACUUCGGGAAACCGGAGCUAAUACCGGAUAAUAUUUUGAACCGCAUGGUUCAAAAGUGAAAGACGGUCUUGCUGUCACUUAUAGAUGGAUCCGCGCUGCAUUAGCUAGUUGGUAAGGUAACGGCUUACCAAGGCAACGAUGCAUAGCCGACCUGAGAGGGUGAUCGGCAACACUGGAGCUGAGGCACGGUCCAGACUCCUACGGGAGGCAGCAGUAGGGAAUCUUCCGCAAUGGGCGAAAGCCUGGCAGAGCAACGCCGCGUGAGUGAUGACGGUCUUCGGAUCGUAAAACUCUGUUAUUAGGGAAGAACAUAUGUGUAAGUAACUGUGCACAUCUUGACGGUACCUAGUCAGAAAGCCACGGCUAACUACGUG
rnacentral:rRNA from 1 species